GAGGGUAUAGCUCAGUGGUAGAGUGCAUGCUUAAAAUGUACAAGGUCCUGGGUUCAAUCCCCAGUACCUCCA
rfam:Camelus ferus unplaced genomic scaffold scaffold353, whole genome shotgun sequence.